UGACCCGAGCCACAGCAGUGGCAAUGCCAGAUCCUUAACCUGCUGAGCCACCAGGAAACUCCUACACAGUUACAAUUAUAUGCAUAAUCAUUAUACAUAUAAUUAUGUUUGGUUUUGCAUAUAUUAAUACAUAGUUCUGAUAAAAUUCUGCAGCGGUAAGCUUCUACUAGGUCAAAUUAGAAAUAUCAGGUUGAGUAACUGACAUAACAUCCUGCUUUGGCCCAAUAUAAAUGACGAAGGCAGGAGAGAGCAAUCUGACAAGGGAUGGAUGGGACAGAAAGGUCCCGGGAAUCGUCUCAGAAUUCAUCAAGGAAAAGACUGGUGAUGUUAAGAGGGUCUGAGUAUAAUAGUCAGCAUGACGGACUUUCAGCAACGUAGAAGGAGGAAGUUACUAUUCAAAGAGUUAUGACCUUGAAGUUCAAGUCUCUAGGGAGACAACUGAAAUCAGAAAGGCUACAAGGACAACAGGGAGAGAGAAAGAAAACACCAUAGGGAGUUCCCUGGUGGUCUAGUGGUUAGGGCUUGGUGCUUUUGCCCCUGAAUGCUAGGUUCAAUCCCUAGUCUGGGAACUGAGAUCCCACAUAAGGCAGCUGCAUGCUGUGUCCAAAAAAAAAAAAAAAGAAAAAA